AUUGAACGCUGGCGGCAGGCCUAACACAUGCAAGUCGAGCGCGCGUGGGACAGGGGAGUAAUGUCUGGGAAACUGCCCGUUGGAGGGGGAGAACUACUGGAAACGGUAGCGAAUACCGCAUAUCACCAGAUAUGCCCACAUGGGAUUAGCGAGUAGGUGGGGGAACGGCUCACCUAGGCGACGCUCUCUAGCUGGUCUGAGAGGAUGACCAGCCACACGGGAACUGAGACACGGUCCAGACUCCUACGUGAGGCAGCAGUGGGGAAUAUUGCACAAUGGGCGCAAGCCUGAUGCAGCCAUGCCGCGUGUAUGAAGAAGGCCUUCGGGUUGUAAAGCACUUUCAGCGGGGAGGCGUUACCCGCAGAAGAAGCACCGGCUAACUCCGUGCCAGCAGCCGCGGUAAUUC
rnacentral:rRNA from 1 species